rnacentral:lncRNA from 1 species
AGCUGCAGGUUUGUGCUUGGCCAGUAUGCCGCCAGGCAGUGGUGAUCGCUGAGUUCUGCGUGAAGCCGGGUAUAGCUUGGCUGGUAGCGCUGGCAUCCAGGCCUGGGGAGCCCCUCCCCCCCCACCACACACAGACAUCUGGGUCUUCCUCACCUUCCCUUCCCACAUCUCCUCGCUAAGAUUAGGGUACUGUCAUCUCCCGAAAGGUCUGCAAGAGUGAAGGGGCACAAAUUAAUACAAUCUUGCAAUAAGACAGAAAGGCCUUUGUAAACACUGGCUAAGACUGGGCGGAUAACCAACAAGGACCUCCUGUACAGCACAGGGAACUCUGCUCAACGUUAUGUGGCAGCCUGGAUGGGAGGGGAGUUUGCUGGAGAAUGGAUAUACCUAUGUGUACGGCUGAGUCCCUUCACUAGUCACCUGAAACUAUCACAACACUGUUAAUCAGCUGUUCCCCAACACAAAAUAAAAAGUUUUUGUUUUUUUUUAAGACUACCUCUGGGGAGUGGAAAUUCUUGGUGGCUCUUCCCUGGAGUCCCCCAUGGCAUUUGGAAGACAGGAGACCAGGUGGAGGGGACCCUUGGCAGGGUGGCUUCUGGUACAGAUGCCAACAGAGACUUAGCUGGGAAGCAUGCAGGUUUCUGGAAUUUCCUUCCCAACACGUGAUCAGGCUUCCUCUAAGUUAUGGUGGCCUUUUGGGUCAAACUCUGGACCCCUUUGAUUCUGCUGCUGUUCUGACAUUUGCUGCAAGGUGUGGAACUUUCCUUGCUUGUUCUGACUUGUGUUGGCGCUAACUUCUCUGUUCCUCUUGAUUCACAGCAAGAAAUCAGAGACAAGUAUUGGACAUUAGUGCUGCUUUAGUUUCUCUCACUCCUAUUCUCUGUCCCUCAACUCUCAACCCCUGCUCCCAACACACACACACACACACACACUACCUGGUUCCCUGUAAGGAUGAAAUGCACUGAUCUGAUAUUUUCCAUUUUUAAGACUUGAAUUCAAUCAGAAUUUUACCAUGCGUCAUGAAAACUAGAAAUACAUAUAUUAUGAUUUAUGGC